UCGCGAAGCCUUCGGGAACGGAAUGGAGGGCCAUAGGCAGCGCGGCUAGAAUGAAGCAGACAGGAACCCGUGGGAAGUGAUCCCGCGGGAUUGGAGCAACAAUUUCGGGGCUAGCAGUGACAACGCUAUGGAGAAGUACUGAGGGAGAGGGAGAGAGACAGAGAGGGAGAGAGAGGAGAGAGUGAAGGAGAGGGAGAGGGAAGAGCAGAGAGUGAGGGAGAGAGAGGGUGCCAACGCAUGGAAAAGUGAGGGAGAGAGAGGGAGAGGGGUGUGUUAAUUUUGGUAUGGUCAAAAAAAUAUAAAAUCAUAAUUUGGUCCUGAAAUCUAAUUUUAUAAUUAGAUAUAUAAAAGUAAAAAAA
rnacentral:lncRNA from 1 species